CCUACGGGGGGCAGCAGUGGGGGAUAUUGCACAAUGGGGGGAACCCUGAUGCAGCGACGCCGCGUGGGUGAAGAAGCGCCUCGGCGCGUAAAGCCCUGUCAGCAGGGAAGAAAAUGACGGUACCUGAAGAAGAAGCUCCGUCUAACUACGUGCCAGCAGCCGCGGUAAUACGGAGGGGGCAAGGGUUAUCCGGAUUUACUGGGUGUAAUGGGGGCGCAGACGGCGAUGCAAGCCAGGAGUGAAAGCCCGGGGCCCAACCCCGGGACUGCUCUUGGAACGGCGUGGCUGGAGUACAGGAGGGGCAGGCGGAAUUCGUGGUGUAGCGGUGAAAUGCGUAGAUAUCAGGAGGAACACCGGUGGCGAAGGCGGCCUGCUGGACUGCAACUGACGUUGAGGCCCGAAAGCGUGGGGAGCAAACAGGAUUAGAUACCCCUGUAGUC
rnacentral:rRNA from 1 species